CAAACACAAUGAGUCUGCAGGCUGAAAUAGGUCAGGAGCUGCCAGUUUGCAAAUUCCAAAGAAAGGACGAGGAAGUCAGUUAGGGGCAAGCCCAGAAACCGAACGACACUGACAAGCACAGAGGCAAGGGAGAGCAGAUUCACAAAAAUAACUCAUCGCUGAGGUGAACUCCCGAUGCUGAAGUCCUGAGGCUUGAUGCAGGGCAGCAGGGCGAUCUUGGAAGCUCCAUAUUGAAGAUGGUGGAGCCACAGUUUGAAAGGAGUCUGGGUUGGAGGAGAGCUACAGGCAGAUCAGGAACACCCAUAUUGGAUUUGACCUGAGUGAAAAAUAAACUGCAAUCAUUAUGUUAAAACACUUACAUAUUUG
rnacentral:lncRNA from 1 species